UGCAGAAUCCCGUGAACCAUCGAGUCUUUGAGCGCAAGUUGCGCCCGAAGCCUUUAGGCCGAGGGCACGCCUGCCUGGGCGUCA
rnacentral:rRNA from 3 species